UGAACGCUAGCGACAGGCCUAACACAUGCAAGUCGAGGGGCAGCACAAGGAGCAAUCUGAGGUGGCGACCGGCGCACGGGUGAGUAACACGUAUGCAACCUGCCUGUAAGCGGGGAAUAACCCGUUGAAAGACGGACUAAUACCGCAUAAUACUAAAUUACUGCAUGGUAAUUUAUUUAAACAUUUAUGGCUUACAGAUGGGCAUGCGCAUGAUUAGCUAGUUGGAGAGGUAACGGCUCCCCAAGGCAACGAUCAUUAGGGGUUCUGAGAGGAAGGUCCCCCACACUGGUACUGAGACACGGACCAGACUCCUACGGGAGGCAGCAGUGAGGAAUAUUGGUCAAUGGACGAGAGUCUGAACCAGCCAAGUCGCGUGCAGGAAGAAUGUCCCUAUGGAUUGUAAACUGCUUUUGCAGGGGAAUAAAGUGCAUCACGUGUGAUGUUUUGUAUGUACUCUGCGAAUAAGGAUCGGCUAACUCCGUGCCAGCAGCGGC
rnacentral:rRNA from 1 species